AUGUGGUUGAAGGGAGAUGUUGACAAGCUGGAAUGUGUCCAGAGGAGGGCAACUAAAAUGAUCAAAGGUCUGGAGAACAAGCCCUAUGAGGAGAGGCUUAAAGAACUGGGCAUGUUUAGCCUGCAGAAGAGAAGACUAAGAGGAGACAUGAUAGCCAUGUACAAAUAUGUGAGAAGAAGUCAUAGGGAGGAGGGAGCAAGCUUGUUUUCUGCUGCCCUGCAGACUAGGAUGCGGAACAAUGGCUUCAAACUACAGGAAAGGAGAUUCCACUUGAACAUCAGGAAGAACUUCCUCACUGUGAGAGCUGUUUGGCAGUGGAACUCUCUCCCCCAGUCUGUGUUGGAGGCUCCUUGGUGGAGGCUUUUAAGCAGAGGCUGGAUGGCCAUCUGUCGGGGGUGCUUUGAGUGUGAUUUCCUGCUUCUUGGCAGGGGGUUGGACUGGACGGCCCAUGAAGUCUCUUCCAACUCUACUAUUCUAUGACUCUAUGACUCUAUGACUCUUUGAUAACUGCUCUAUAGAAGUUCGCACAGUCUAGGAACGAUUGCAAUUGUUUUCUGGUCUUGAGUGCUUCCCAUCCUUUCACAUCCUCUACUUUCGCCGGGUCCAUUGCUAUCCUCCGGGAUGAAAUUCUGUACCCCAAGAAGUCUAUUUAGUCCUUGUUGAAUUCACACUUAGACAGCUUUGCAUACAGCUUCGUUUCCCUCAACCUUUGGAGGACUUCCCUGACCAAUUCUACGUGUUGGGCCUUAUUCUGAUUUAAUAUAAGAAUAUCAUCUAGAAAUGUCAGGCUCACUUCAAAGGACUAGUCUGAACGCAGAUCAAAGAUAGCUGCUCUCAAAUCCAAUCUUUAUUGAAGAAUACAUGACUUUGGAAAAAGUCGAGAAUGACCUAAUGUUUACAUACAAUCAUUUUUAUCACCUCUGAUGCAACAUAACACCACACGUAAAUAUCAUCACCAAACCCCACCCCCUGUAUUACAUUUCUACUAUUCCCACACACUCUACCAAUUAUAAUUGUUUAUACUUUCAACCCCGAGUUCCCAGGCUCUUCUAUCUUCUUCUGCCAGGUGCUUCCAGGAUUAUGUUAUGACUCCAAGUCCAGGGCUUGGAAAUUCAGCCCUGGGACUUGGUUCCAUGACAUGGCGCCCUCUUUUUCUCCAUCCUCCUCUUCGGUGCUUCUUUCAUCACAAUUCUGAAAUAAAUCAAACAAUAACUCUAUGUAUCCAUUUUGUCCAAAGUACCCAUAUACUUUUUCAGUAAGCUGCGAUGGAAUACUGGGUGUAUUUUCCCUAAACUUUUUGGCAAUGCCAAUUGGAAAGUCACUUCGUUUAUAACACCCUGUAUUCUGAAUGGUCCAAUAUAUUUGGGGCCAAGUUUUCUCGAAGGUAGCCCCAACUUGAUGUUUUGUGUACUUAACCAUACUAAAUCUCCUUUCUCCAAUUUAUCGCCUUCCAUUCUCUUUCUGUCUGCGAAUGUUUUAUACUUUUUGUGUGCUUCCUUUAAGGAUGCAGUCACUUGACUCCAACAUUCUAGCAUUUGAGUUUUCCAUUUCCCUGCCCCAGUUUCUUCAUUCUCUGUCCAUCUUGGCAACUGGGGCAGAGGCUGUAUUUCAUACCCGUAAACUACUUCAAAGGGAGUUUUAUUUGUUGCGGAAUGUAUAGUCGAAUUAAAAGCUAGUUCUGCGAAAGCCAGCCACUUAGACCAGUCAUUUUGUCUCAUGUUAGAGUACAUGCGAAGGAACUGCCCAAGCGUCUGUUGAGUACGUUCUACUGCCCCGUUUGUCAUGGGGUGAAAAGCAGAACUUAGACUCCUUUCUGCUCCUAGCAUUUCCAAGAAUUUUUCCCAGAAUUUUGCUGUGAACUGAACCCCUCUGUCACUGACCACUCUACUGGGACAUCCAUGAAGUUUAUAAAUAUGGUUUAUGUACAAUUCAGCUAGUUUCUCUGCCGAUGGUAGUUUCGUCAGUGCUAUAAAGUGGGCCUGUUUAGAAAACAGGUCUAAUACUGUCCAAAUAUAACGAUGUCCUUUGCUAACUGGCAGUUCCCCCACAAAGUCCAUAGCUACACAUUCCCAAGGCCUGGUAGGUUCUGCUACUGUUUGUAACAAUCCCAUUGGCUUCCCUCCUCUCGAUUUAUUUCUGGCACAAUCAUCACAUUGAAUAACAUGAUUCUUUAUGUCCUUCCUCAUCCCUGGCCACCAACAAUGUUUUGCUAUUGCCUUUGUUGUUUUUGUAAUUCCUGUAUGACCAGCGCUCUGGUUAUUGUGAAAACGAUGCAAAAUCUUAAUCCUUAAUAUUGCUGGGAUAUACAGUUUCUUGUUCACAAACCAAAAUCCCCCCUUCUGCUCCCCCUUUUCUGCGUUGGAUGCAAUCCACUGAUCUCCCUCGUAUGACUGUCUCAGUUCUUUUCCCCAACUAUUUUCCUCGUCAAAUUCAAUAAUAGCAGUGUUCUCUCUUUGGGUCUGCGCUCUUGUACUGACAGCUAAACCCCAUUGUUUAUCAGAAAAUAGUGUUCCCUCUUUUGCUGUGGUUAUGCCUUCGUGUUGCGGCAUGCAUGAAAGAGCAUCUGCCAAGACAUUCUGUUUCCCUUGGAAAAACUUUAAUUGGAAAUCGAACCUGCUGAAGUAUUGUGCCCAUCUAAUUUGUUUAGGGGACAAUUUUCGAGGAGAUUUUAAAUACUGGAGGUUCUUAUGGUCAGACCAAAUUUCAAAUGGGAUUCCGCUCCCUUCGAGGAAGUGUCGCCAGCAUUCUAAGGCUUUUAAUAUGGCUAAUGCUUCUUUUUCCCAUAUGGGCCAACAUUUUUCAGUUUCGCUGAACUUCCGGGACAAAUAUCCACAAGGUUUUAAGUUCCCAUUUUGAUCUUUUUGCAAAAGUACUGCCCCGUAUGCACAGUCUGAAGCAUCGCAAUGAAUUAUGAAAGGGCUCCGGAUAUCGGGGUGUUUUAGGACGGGUUCUUCUGUGAAGCGUCCUUUUAGGGUCUCAAAUGCCUUUUGGCAUUCUGGCGUCCAACUCAGUUUGGCGCCAGGAGCUUUCACUUUUGCUGUCUCCCCUUUCCCUUUUGUUUUUAAAAGUUCAGUAAGGGGUGCGGUUAUUUGCGCAAAGCCUUUUAUGAACGAUCUAUAAAAAUUUGCAAAUCCCAGAAAUGAUUGCAAUUGCCUCCUUGUUUGGGGUACUCCCCAUUCUCUUACGUCUGAUACUUUAGACGGGUCCAUAGCUAACCCUUCUGGAGAUAUCCGAUACCCCAGAAAGUCAAUUUGAGUUUUAUUAAAUUCACAUUUGGACAGUUUUGCAUACAGCUUUGCUUCCCUUAGUCUUUGCAAAACUUCCCAGACCAAUUCUACGUGCUUUUCUUUAUCUUCGCUCACGAUCAAGAUGUCAUCAAGGAAUAUGAAUACUCCCUGGUACAAUAAUGGGUGCAGUAUUUCGUUUAUAAGCUGCAUAAAGCAACCGCCGCCAUUUUUUAACCCAAAUGGCAAAAUUAAAUAUUCAAAAUGGCCGAAUGCGCAGGAAAAUGCAGUUUUCCAAGUAUCCUCGGGUUUGAUUCUUAAUUUAUGAUAUGCUUCAAUUAAAUCCAGUUUGGUAAAUAUGCUCCCUUUCUUCAAUACGGUAAUUAAAUCCUUUACUAAGGGCAUAGGGUAUUUAUUGUCCUUAGUAAUUGCAUUUAAAUUUCGAUAGUCAAUGCACAAUCUCAAAGAGUUGUCUUUCUUCCUCCUAAAUAACACUGGGGCUCCAAGAGGGGAGUUGGAUGGCUUAAUGAAGCCUCGCGCCAGGUUCUUAUCGAUAUAUUUCCUCAAUUCCUCCUUCUCCUGAACAGACAUGGGAUACACUUUUGGUUUUGGUAAGGUUGCUCCUGGGGUUAUUUCAAUUUCUACUUCUAUAUUUCUCUUAGGAGGUAAUUUGCUUGCCUCUUUCUGAUUGAAGACAUCCACAAAGUCUCUGUAUUCAGGUGGCAAUAGCUGUGGGUCUAUUUCCUCUGCUUCAUUUCCCUCGUCCUCCUCUCCUGCUAUUUUGCUUAUCUCCCAUUGUGUCUGUUGUUCCUUAAAUGCUAGGCUCUUUCCUCUCCAAUCUACUUCAGGAUUUGCCUGUUCGAGCCAUGGGAUCCCUAGUAUGACAUGGUAUGUGGCAAUAGGGGCUAUCACAAAGGAUAUUCUUCCUUCCCAUUUGCCUAUUUUACAUGGGACCCCCUGUAUUUCCUUCGUAGAUACUUCCCCAGCAGCAACUGAUCCAUCUAGCUGCGAAAAUGCGAUCGGGGAGUCAAGCAGCGUCUGCUGGCGUUUUAGCGCUCCUGCUAAUUCCGGAGUUAUAAUGUUCCUAGAACAACCGCAAUCCACGAAUGCCCCGCAGGUGGCCCGAUUCUCUAGCCCCGAUAGGCAGAUUGGCACUACUAGCAUGCGUUUGUCUCGACUCACCAGUCUUUCCGGAGAUUCUGGGGCACGCACCUCCUCCUCCGCUCGUCUCCCGGCUGCUGGCUUGGGCUUUGAGGGUUUUGGCGGCUCCCCCUUCCGG
rnacentral:lncRNA from 1 species